rnacentral:misc_RNA from 1 species
UGAUGAUGCUUCAGAGGCAAUUUUGAGGCCAUUCGGAAGAGUGGUAAUUUUUGUCUUUUCUGGGUCUACAUAAUCAGGUAGCGGAGGGGGAUUCGUAACACCAGGAAGCGGAAAAUCUAGAGGUGGAAUCUGACUUGACUUUCCCCCUGUAAGCCAGCUUAGGAAACCACCUGAGGACCUUUUCGCUACACUUGUACUUGCAGAUCUACUUGCAACAGUAAAAGCCCCCAUAGCACCUGCAUAGUGCUUGAGAGAUCUAAGACGAGAUCCUGUGGCUCUGUGCAUGAUUGGAUCGAGAGGCCGAGGGGGCGGAUGUUGAUGAGAGAGAGGAUGAGGAGAUCGGCCGCAACGAG